AAACAACUCAGAGUUGCUCAGCGGCGGACGUCGGCGGGAGACGGUGCGCAACGCAGUUAAAUAUCAUUGUCCUUCACAUACGUCAUCACCAUCACGCCGAACGUUUUAGAGAGCAGUGACGUUUUUUCAAACAACAACGUGGUUGCCAUGGAAAUGAGAAGUGCCAGAGGUGCGUGACCAGUCAUGGCAGAAGCGUGACUUUUUCAGGUCCACAAAUCCCACAAUUCUGCCGAGAGCAUCUCAAUCCCGUGCAACAGCAGAGCUCGAAAGGUAAGUGACAACAAACUCCUUUUUUCCAGGCAGUUUCAGCCUUACAAACGUGUCACAAUAUUCAUCAUGAACUGGAAUGUCAAUCACACACAAUC